UGUACUCCUCUCUGGGUUGAAGGUAGGGUGAGACUGUCAUUACUGUACUCCUCUCUGGGUUGAAGGUAGGGUGAGACUGUCAUUACUGUACUCUGGGUUGAAGGUAGGGUGAGACUGUCAUUACUGUACUCUGGGUUGAAGGUAGGGUGAGACUGUCAUUACUGUACUCUGGGUUGAAGAUGGGGUGAGACUGUCAUUGCUGUACUCCUCUCUGGGUUGAAGGUGGGGUGAGACUGUCAUUACUGUACUCUGGGUUGAAGGUAGGGUGAGACUGUCAUUACUGUACUCUGGGUUGAAGGUAGGGUGAGACUGUCAUUACUGUACUCUGGGUUGAAGGUAGGGUGAGACUGUCAUUGCUGUACUCCUCUCUGGGUUGAAGGUAGGGUGAGACUGUCAUUACUGUACUCUGGGUUGAAGGUAGGGUGAGACUGUCAUUACUGUACUCUGGGUUGAAGGUAGGGUGAGACUGUCAUUACUGUACUCUGGGUUGAAGGUAGGGUGAGACUGUCAUUACUGUACUCCUCUCUGGGUUGAAGGUAGGGUGAGACUGUCAUUACUGUACUCCUCUCUGGGUUGAAGGUAGGGUGAGACUGUCAUUACUGUACUCCUCUCUGGGUUGAAGGUGGGGUGAGACUGUCAUUACUGUACUCUGGGUUGAAGGUGGGGUGAGACUGUCAUUGCUGUACUCCUCUCUGGGUUGAAGGUAGGGUGAGACUGUCAUUACUGUACUCUGGGUUGAAGGUGGGGUGAGACUGUCAUUACUGUACUCCUCUCUGGGUUGAAGGUGGGGUGAGACUGUCAUUACUGUACUCUGGGUUGAAGGUGGGGUGAGACUGUCAUUACUGUACUCCUCUCUGGGUUGAAGGUAGGGUGAGACUGUCAUUACUGUACUCUGGGUUGAAGGUAGGGUGAGACUGUCAUUACUGUACUCCUCUCUGGGUUGAAGGUAGGGUGAGACUGUCAUUACUGUACUCUGGGUUGAAGGUAGGGUGAGACUGUCAUUACUGUACUCUGGGUUGAAGGUAGGGUGAGACUGUCAUUACUGUACUCCUCUCUGGGUUGAAGGUGGGGUGAGACUGUCAUUACUGUACUCUGGGUUGAAGGUGGGGUGAGACUGUCAUUACUGUACUCUGGGUUGAAGGUGGGGUGAGACUGUCAUUACUGUACUCCUCUCUGGGUUGAAGGUAGGGUGAGACUGUCAUUACUGUACUCUGGGUUGAAGGUAGGGUGAGACUGUCAUUACUGUACUCCUCUCUGGGUUGAAGGUAGGGUGAGACUGUCAUUACUGUACUCCUCUCUGGG